UCACAAGAGGACUUAUCAUGACCAAUUGAAUUACUGAAAGAGCUAUAAAGUCUUUGUCAUCUGGAAUCUGGAUUUGUUGAUUUUAAUAAGCGAUCACUUUCUUUCUGGUCACAAGAGUACUUAUCAUGGCAAAUUGAAUUAUUGAAAGAGCUCUAAAAUCUUUGUCAUCUGGAAUCUGAAUUUGAUGAUUUUCAUAAGCGAUCACAUCGAUGGAAACGCGUCCCUUCAUCUUCUUGGUCAUCCGAAAACUUCAAUUGAUACUUCAUAAGCUCGAGCCUCAAGCUUCCAUGGAACUACUUAAAUCUUAAUUGCACUAAAGUUCUCAACUUCAAGUCUUCAACUGAUCCUCGGAAGCAAGUGUCCUCGUGAUCCGACGACUUUCAUG